GGAGAAACGGGGGAGCGGGGGGGCUGGGUGGGUGGGCGCAGAGCACCCAGGGGAUGGGGGCAGGGCACGGCAGGGGUGCUAUGGAAGUGGAUGGGGUGUCGGGGAGGCCGGGGGGCGGUGGACUGGGCAUGUCAUGGGAAUAGAAGGGGGUGUCAGGGAGGCUGGGGGGGUCUCAUGGGAGCAGAACAUGUCGGGGGAGGCUGGGGCAGGGGGCCUGGGGGUGUCGGGGGAGGCGGGUUUCAUGGGAGGGGAAGGGGGUGUCAGGGAGGCUGGGGGGGGGUCUCAUGGGAGCAGAACAUGUCGGGGGAGGCUGGGGCAGGGGGCCUGGGGGUGUCGGGGGAGGCGGGUUUCAUGGGAGGGGAAGGGGGUGUCAGGGAGGCUGGGGGGGUCUCAUGGGAGCAGAACAUGUCGGGGGAGGCUGGGGCAGGGGGCCUGGGGGUGUCGGGGGAGGCGGGUUUCAUGGGAGGGGAAGGGGGUGUCAGGGAGGCUGGGGGGGUCUCAUGGGAGCAGAACAUGUCGGGGGAGGCUGGGGCAGCGGGCCUGGGGGUGUCGGGGGAGGAGGGUUUCAUGGGAGGGGAAGGGGGUGUCAGGGAGGCUGGGGGGGUCUCAUGGGAGCAGAACAUGUCGGGGGAGGCUGGGGCAGCGGGCCUGGAGGUGUCGGGGGAGGCGGGUUUCAUGGGAGGGGAAGGGGGUGUCAGGGAGGCUGGGGGAGUCACAUGGGAGCAGAACAUGUCGGGGGAGGCUGGGGCAGCGGGCCUGGAGGUGUCGGGGGAGACGGGUUUCAUGGGAGGGGAAGGGGGUGUCAGGGAGGCUGGAGGGGGUCUCAUGGGAGCAGAACAUGUCGGGGGAGGCUGGGGCAGGGGGCCUGGGUGUGUCGGGCAAGGGGGGUCUCAUGGGAGUUGCAGGGGGUCCAGGGAAAAGGUGGGUCCUGGGGGACCCCAGGGAAGUCGGGGGGGGAGAGUUCCCC